rnacentral:rRNA from 1 species
UGUGAGCUCGAUGAGUAGGGCGGGACACGUGGUAUCCUGUCUGAAUAUGGGGGGACCAUCCUCCAAGGCUAAAUACUCCUGACUGACCGAUAGUGAACCAGUACCGUGAGGGAAAGGCGAAAAGAACCCCGGCGAGGGGAGUGAAAAAGAACCUGAAACCGUGUACGUACAAGCAGUGGGAGCCUCUUUUAUGGGGUGACUGCGUACCUUUUGUAUAAUGGGUCAGCGACUUAUAUUCUGUAGCAAGGUUAACCGAAUAGGGGAGCCGAAGGGAAACCGAGUCUUAACUGGGCGUUAAGUUGCAGGGUAUAGACCCGAAACCCGGUGAUCUAGCCAUGGGCAGGUUGAAGGUUGGGUAACACUAACUGGAGGACCGAACCGACUAAUGUUGAAAAAUUAGCGGAUGACUUGUGGCUGGGGGUGAAAGGCCAAUCAAACCGGGAGAUAGCUGGUUCUCCCCGAAAGCUAUUUAGGUAGCGCCUCGUGAAUUCAUCUCCGGGGGUAGAGCACUGUUUCGGCAAGGGGGUCAUCCCGACUUACCAACCCGAUGCAAACUGCGAAUACCGGAGAAUGUUAUCACGGGAGACACACGGCGGGUGCUAACGUCCGUCGUGAAGAGGGAAACAACCCAGACCGCCAGCUAAGGUCCCAAAGUCAUGGUUAAGUGGGAAACGAUGUGGGAAGGCCCAGACAGCCAGGAUGUUGGCUUAGAAGCAGCCAUCAUUUAAAGAAAGCGUAAUAGCUCACUGGUCGAGUCGGCCUGCGCGGAAGAUGUAACGGGGCUAAACCAUGCACCGAAGCUGCGGCAGCGACGCUUAUGCGUUGUUGGGUAGGGGAGCGUUCUGUAAGCCUGUGAAGGUGUGCUGUGAGGCAUGCUGGAGGUAUCAGAAGUGCGAAUGCUGACAUAAGUAACGAUAAAGCGGGUGAAAAGCCCGCUCGCCGGAAGACCAAGGGUUCCUGUCCAACGUUAAUCGGGGCAGGGUGAGUCGACCCCUAAGGCGAGGCCGAAAGGCGUAGUCGAUGGGAAACAGGUUAAUAUUCCUGUACUUGGUGUUACUGCGAAGGGGGGACGGAGAAGGCUAUGUUGGCCGGGCGACGGUUGUCCCGGUUUAAGCGUGUAGGCUGGUUUUCCAGGCAAAUCCGGAAAAUCAAGGCUGAGGCGUGAUGACGAGGCACUACGGUGCUGAAGCAACAAAUGCCCUGCUUCCAGGAAAAGCCUCUAAGCAUCAGGUAACAUCAAAUCGUACCCCAAACCGACACAGGUGGUCAGGUAGAGAAUACCAAGGCGCUUGAGAGAACUCGGGUGAAGGAACUAGGCAAAAUGGUGCCGUAACUUCGGGAGAAGGCACGCUGAUAUGUAGGUGAAGUCCCUUGCGGAUGGAGCUGAAAUCAGUCGAAGAUACCAGCUGGCUGCAACUGUUUAUUAAAAACACAGCACUGUGCAAACACGAAAGUGGACGUAUACGGUGUGACGCCUGCCCGGUGCCGGAAGGUUAAUUGAUGGGGUCAGCGCAAGCGAAGCUCUUGAUCGAAGCCCCGGUAAACGGCGGCCGUAACUAUAACGGUCCUAAGGUAGCGAAAUUCCUUGUCGGGUAAGUUCCGACCUGCACGAAUGGCGUAAUGAUGGCCAGGCUGUCUCCACCCGAGACUCAGUGAAAUUGAACUCGCUGUGAAGAUGCAGUGUACCCGCGGCAAGACGGAAAGACCCCGUGAACCUUUACUAUAGCUUGACACUGAACAUUGAGCCUUGAUGUGUAGGAUAGGUGGGAGGCUUUGAAGUGUGGACGCCAGUCUGCAUGGAGCCGACCUUGAAAUACCACCCUUUAAUGUUUGAUGUUCUAACGUGGACCCGUGAUCCGGGUUGCGGACAGUGUCUGGUGGGUAGUUUGACUGGGGCGGUCUCCUCCUAAAGAGUAACGGAGGAGCACGAAGGUUGGCUAAUCCUGGUCGGACAUCAGGAGGUUAGUGCAAUGGCAUAAGCCAGCUUGACUGCGAGCGUGACGGCGCGAGCAGGUGCGAAAGCAGGUCAUAGUGAUCCGGUGGUUCUGAAUGGAAGGGCCAUCGCUCAACGGAUAAAAGGUACUCCGGGGAUAACAGGCUGAUACCGCCCAAGAGUUCAUAUCGACGGCGGUGUUUGGCACCUCGAUGUCGGCUCAUCACAUCCUGGGGCUGAAGUAGGUCCCAAGGGUAUGGCUGUUCGCCAUUUAAAGUGGUACGCGAGCUGGGUUUAGAACGUCGUGAGACAGUUCGGUCCCUAUCUGCCGUGGGCGCUGGAGAACUGAGGGGGGCUGCUCCUAGUACGAGAGGACCGGAGUGGACGCAUCACUGGUGUUCGGGUUGUCAUGCCAAUGGCACUGCCCGGUAGCUAAAUGCGGAAGAGAUAAGUGCUGAAAGCAUCUAAGCACGAAACUUGCCCCGAGAUGAGUUCUCCCUGACCCUUUAAGGGUCCUGAAGGAACGUUGAAGACGACGACGUUGAUAGGCCGGGUGUGUAAGCGCAGCGAUGCGUUGAGCUAACCGGUACUAAUGAACCGUGAGGCUUAACCUU